rnacentral:rRNA from 1 species
AAAUUGCGGGGCUCAACCUCGUCGAGCCGUUGAAACUGGGUGCCUUGAGUGGGCGAGAAGUACGCGGAAUGCGUGGUGUAGCGGUGAAAUGCAUAGAUAUCACGCAGAACUCCGAUUGCGAAGGCAGCGUACCGGCGCCCAACUGACGCUGAAGCACGAAGGCGUGGGUAUCGAACAGGAUUAGAUACCCUGGUAGUCCACGCAGUAAACGAUGAAUGCUAGUUGUCCGGGGCGAUUGAGUUCUGGGUGACACAGCGAAAGCGUUAAGCAUUCCACCUGGGGAGUACGCCGGCAACGGUGAAACUCAAAGGAAUUGACGGGGGCCCGCACAAGCGGAGGAACAUGUGGUUUAAUUCGAUGAUACGCGAGGAACCUUACCCGGGCUCAAACGCAGGAGGGAUGUUUUUGAAAGGAGGCAGCCAGCAAUGGUCUCCUGCGAGGUGCUGCAUGGUUGUCGUCAGCUCGUGCCGUGAGGUGUCGGCUUAAGUGCCAUAACGAGCGCAACCCCUACCUACAGUUGCCAUCGCGUGAUGGCGGGCACUCUGUGGGGACUGCCUGCGCAAGCAGUGAGGAAGGCGGGGAUGACGUCAAAUCAGCACGGCCCUUACGUCCGGGGCGACACACGUGUUACAAUGGCAGGUACAGCGGGAAGCCACCCGGCGACGGGGCGCGGAACCCGAAAACCUGUCUCAGUUCGGAUUGGAGUCUGCAACCCGACUCCAUGAAGCUGGAUUCGCUAGUAAUCGCGCAUCAGCCACGGCGCGGUGAAUACGUUCCCGGGCCUUGUACACACCGCCCGUCAAGCCAUGGAAGCCGGGGGUGCCUGAAGUGCGUGACCGCAAGGAGCGCCCUAGGGUAAAACCGGUGACUGGGGCUAAGUCGUAACAAGGUAACCGUAA